GGUGAGUAAUGUCUGGGAAACUGCCUGAUGGAGGGGGAUAACUACUGGAAACGGUAGCUAAUACCGCAUAACGUCGCAAGACCAAAGAGGGGGACCUUCGGGCCUCUUGCCAUCGGAUGUGCCCAGAUGGGAUUAGCUAGUAGGUGGGGUAACGGCUCACCUAGGCGACGAUCCCUAGCUGGUCUGAGAGGAUGACCAGCCACACUGGAACUGAGACACGGUCCAGACUCCUACGGGAGGCAGCAGUGGGGAAUAUUGCACAAUGGGCGCAAGCCUGAUGCAGCCAUGCCGCGUGUAUGAAGAAGGCCUUCGGGUUGUAAAGUACUUUCAGCGGGGAGGAAGGGAGUAAAGUUAAUACCUUUGCUCAUUGACGUUACCCGCAGAAGAAGCACCGGCUAACUCCGUGCCAGCAGCCGCGGUAAUACGGAGGGUGCAAGCGUUAAUCGGAAUUACUGGGCGUAAAGCGCACGCAGGCGGUUUGUUAAGUCAGAUGUGAAAUCCCCGGGCUCAACCUGGGAACUGCAUCUGAUACUGGCAAGC
rnacentral:rRNA from 1 species